CCCUUAGAUGUUCGGGGCCGCACGCGCGCUACACUGAAGGACUCAACGUGCUUGUUGUCCUGGUCUGGAAAGACUGGGUAACCCGAUGAACCUCCUUCGUGCUAGGGAUUGGGGCUUGCAAUUCUUGCCCACGAACGAGGAAUUCCCAGUAAGCGCGAGUCAUCAGCUCGUGUUGAUUACGUCCCUGCCCUUUGUACACACCGCCCGUCGCUACUACCGAUUGGAUGGCUUAGUGAGACCCUCGGACCGAUAGGCUGUCGCCGCGGCAACGUGGCGACCGGCCCGUCGGGAAGAAGGUCAAACUUGACUGUCUAGAGGAAGUAAAAGUCGUAACA
rnacentral:rRNA from 1 species